CUUAACUCGUUAUGCGAUAUGUGACAUGUUGCCAAUCAUUUAUUUUCAAUUUAAGAGCGAUGAGGUCAAAUCGCCAAAGAAAACGUCCUAGCAAUGAAGAGUCAAUUCCCAAAACAAAUAAGAAGCCUAAGUCUACUGAAGCUGACAAUUUAAGUACCUAUGAAGAAAAGUUUAAAGCAAGAUUUAGUGUUGGAGAUAUGGAGUUUCAAGAAUCUAUAGAAUCAUAUAAAAAACAUUUCUUCACACCGCCAAUUGUUGAUUUGCAUAAUAAAAAGUUCUAUUAACAUUAUAUCAUUCAUAAAAAGCGCUAUUAAAAUUUUAAACUCAAAUAUCUGGAAUGUUAAUUAGACAAUUAUAUUAUUUAUUACUAUAUAGAUUUUUUUGAAUAAUAUAAUAUGAUUAAAAA